rnacentral:rRNA from 1 species
UGACCGUGGCCCAAGUAGCAUAAUCAAUUGUCUUUUAAUUAAAGGCUUGUAUGAAUGGUUGAAUGAGAUAUUAACUAUUUUUAUUUUAAUAAAAAUGAAUUUUAAUUUUUAGUAAAAAUACUAAAAUAAAAAAAUUAGACGAGAAGACCCUAUAGAUCUUUAUUUUUAAUAAAAUAAUAUUAAUUUUGAAAAAUUAUAAAUUAUUUAUUUUAUAGAAAAUUUUAUUGGGAAGAUAAUGAAAUUUAAAGAACUUUCAUAAAUUUUAUAAUUAUAAUUAAUCAAUUGAAUAUAUAAUUUAUAUUUUUAAAAUCAAGUUACCUUAGGGAUAACAGCGUAAUUAUUUUUAAGAGUUCUUAUCGAUAAAAUAUUUUGCGACCUCGAUGUUGAAUUAAGAAUUAAUUACGGUGUAGAAAUCACU